UACGUAGGCAGCAAGCGUUGUUCGGAGUUACUGGGCGUAAAGGGUGCGUAGGCGGUUGUUUAAGUUUGGUAUGAAAUCUCCCGGCUCAACUGGGAGGGUGCGCCGAAUACUGAAUGACUAGAGUGCGGGAGAGGAGAGUGGAAUUCCUGGUGUAGCGGUGAAAUGCGUAGAUAUCGGAAGGAACACCUGUGGCGAAAGCGGCUCACUGGACCAUUACUGACGCUGAGGCACGAAAAGCUAGGGGGAGCAAAACAGGGAUUAGAAACCCCUGG
rnacentral:rRNA from 1 species